rnacentral:rRNA from 1 species
GACGAACGCUGGCGGCGUGCCUAAUACAUGCAAGUCGAACGCUUCUUUCCUCCCGAGUGCUUGCACUCAAUUGGAAAGAGGAGUGGCGGACGGGUGAGUAACACGUGGGUAACCUACCCAUCAGAGGGGGAUAACACUUGGAAACAGGUGCUAAUACCGCAUAACAGUUUAUGCCGCAUGGCAUAAGAGUGAAAGGCGCUUUCGGGUGUCGCUGAUGGAUGGACCCGCGGUGCAUUAGCUAGUUGGUGAGGUAACGGCUCACCAAGGCCACGAUGCAUAGCCGACCUGAGAGGGUGAUCGGCCACACUGGGACUGAGACACGGCCCAGACUCCUACGGGAGGCAGCAGUAGGGAAUCUUCGGCAAUGGACGAAAGUCUGACCGAGCAACGCCGCGUGAGUGAAGAAGGUUUUCGGUUCGUAAAACUCUGUUGUUAGAGAAGAACAAGGACGUUAGUAACUGAACGUCCCCUGACGGUAUCUAACCAGAAAGACACGGCUAACUACGUG